GACGAACGCUGGCGGCGUGCUUAACACAUGCAAGUCGAACGGAAAGGCCCUGCUUUUGUGGGGUGCUCGAGUGGCGAACGGGUGAGUAACACGUGAGUAACCUGCCCUUGACUUUGGGAUAACUUCAGGAAACUGGGGCUAAUACCGGAUAGGAGCUCCUGCUGCAUGGUGGGGGUUGGAAAGUUUCGGCGGUUGGGGAUGGACUCGCGGCUUAUCAGCUUGUUGGUGGGGUAGUGGCUUACCAAGGCUUUGACGGGUAGCCGGCCUGAGAGGGUGACCGGCCACAUUGGGACUGAGAUACGGCCCAGACUCCUACGGGAGGCAGCAGUGGGGAAUAUUGCACAAUGGGCGGAAGCCUGAUGCAGCAACGCCGCGUGCGGGAUGACGGCCUUCGGGUUGUAAACCGCUUUAGCCUGUGACGAAGCGUGAGUGACGGUAAUGGGAAAAGAAGCACCGGCUAACUACGUG
rnacentral:rRNA from 1 species